UACGUAGGGACCGAGCGUUGUCCGGAAUCAUUGGGCGUAAAGGGUGCGUAGGCGGGUCUUUAAGUCAGGGGUGAAAUCCUGGAGCUCAACUCCAGAACUGCCUUUGAUACUGGCGACCUUGAGUCCGGGAGAGGUGAGUGGAACUGCGAGUGUAGAGGUGAAAUUCGUAGAUAUUCGCAAGAACACCAGUGGCGAAGGCGGCUCACUGGCCCGGUACUGACGCUGAGGUGCGAAAGCGUGGGGAGCAAACAGG
rnacentral:rRNA from 1 species